GACGAACGCUGGCGGCGUGCCUAAUACAUGCAAGUUGAGCGCUGAAGGUUGGUACUUGUACCAACUGGAUGAGCAGCGAACGGGUGAGUAACGCGUGGGGAAUCUGCCUUUGAGCGGGGGACAACAUUUGGAACCAAUGCCUAAUACCCAAUAAAAACUUUAAACAAAAUUUUUAGGUUUGAAGAUGGCAUUUCAUUAACUAAAAAAUAUUCCGCGUUGUAUUAGCUUAGUUGGUGGGUUAAGGCUCACCAAGGCGAUGAUACAUAGCCGACCUGGAAGGGUGAUCGGCCACAUUGGGACUGAGACACGGCCCAAACUCCUACGGGGGGCAGCAGUAGGGAAUCUUCGGCAAUGGACGAAAGUCUGACCGAGCAACGCCGCGUGAGUGAAGAAGGUUUUCGGAUCGUAAAACUCUGUUGGUAGAGAAGAACGUUGGUGAGAGUGGAAAGCUCAUCAAGUGACGGUAACUACCCAGAAAGGGACGGCUAACUACGUG
rnacentral:rRNA from 1 species